AAGGGGAGUGCCAGACCCUGGGCUGUGUCCCCCAGUGCUUUGGGCUUCGGGGUUUGCGCAGCUGGAAUUGCUCUCCUGGGGCUGUGCAGCCCUGU
rnacentral:pre_miRNA from 1 species